rnacentral:rRNA from 1 species
GACGAACGCUGGCGGCGUGCUUAACACAUGCAAGUCGAACGGAAAGGCCCUGCUUUUGUGGGGUGCUCGAGUGGCGAACGGGUGAGUAACACGUGAGUAACCUGCCCUUGACUUUGGGAUAACUUCAGGAAACUGGGGCUAAUACCGGAUAGGAGCUCCUGCUGCAUGGUGGGGGUUGGAAAGUUUCGGCGGUUGGGGAUGGACUCGCGGCUUAUCAGCUUGUUGGUGGGGUAGUGGCUUACCAAGGCUUUGACGGGUAGCCGGCCUGAGAGGGUGACCGGCCACAUUGGGACUAAGAUACGGCCCAGACUCCUACGGGAGGCAGCAGUGGGGAAUAUUGCACAAUGGGCGGAAGCCUGAUGCAGAGACGCCGCGUGCGGGAUGACGGCCUUCGGGUUGUAAACCGCUUUCGCCUGUGACGAAGCGUGAGUGACGGUAAUGGGUAAAGAAGCACCGGCUAACUACGUG